ACAAGCGGUGGAGCAUGUGGUUUAAUUCGAUGCAACGCGAAGAACCUUACCUGGGCUUGACAUCCCGAGAAUCCCCUGGAAACAGGGGAGUGCCUUCGGGGAGCUCGGAGACAGGUGCUGCAUGGCUGUCGUCAGCUCGUGUCGUGAGAUGUUGGGUUAAGUCCCGCAACGAGCGCAACCCUUGUCUUUAAUUGCCAUCAUUGAGUUGGGCACUUUAAAGAGACUGCCGGUGUUAAACCGGAGGAAGGUGGGGAUGACGUCAAGUCCUCAUGGCCUUUAUGCCCAGGGCUACACACGUGCUACAAUGGUCGGUACAGAGGGCAGCCAAGCCGUGAGGUGGAGCUAAUCCCACAAAGCCGAUCGUAGUCCGGAUCGGAGUCUGCAACUCGACUCCGUGAAGUCGGAAUCGCUAGUAAUCGCGGAUCAGAAUGCCGCGGUGAAUACGUUCCCGGGCCUU
rnacentral:rRNA from 1 species